rnacentral:miRNA from 1 species
CAUCGUGCACAGGUUUGAGUGUU